GGUUUACUACGGCGUUGGUGACUACCAACAAUGUUUUACGAUCUAUAUUUCUUCUCAACGGGAGCUGAGUUGUGUCGGCGGCAGUAAACCGGGCCUGUACCUGGAAACUUCAAGCCUGACGCCAAGGCACCCACCUGGUUCGUCCAGGUCGAAGGCUGAGGUAAGACGGCGUUGCGGUAGACCC
rnacentral:other from 1 species